GACGAACGCUGGCGGCGUGCCUAAUACAUGCAAGUUGAGCGCUGAAGGUUGGUACUUGUACCAACUGGAUGAGCAGCGAACGGGUGAGUAACGCGUGGGGAAUCUGCCUUUGAGCGGGGGACAACAUUUGGAAACGAAUGCUAAUACCGCAUAAAAACUUUAAACACAAGUUUCAAGUUUGAAAGAUGCAAUUGCAUCACUCAAAGAUGAUCCCGCGUUGUAUUAGCUAGUUGGUGAGGUAAAGGCUCACCAAGGCGAUGAUACAUAGCCGACCUGAGAGGGUGAUCGGCCACAUUGGGACUGGGACAAGGCCCAAACUCCUACGGGAGGCAGCAGUAGGGGAUCUUCGGCAAUGGACGAAAGUCUGACCGAGCAACGCCGCGUGAGUGAAGAAGGUUUUCGGAUCGUAAAACUCUGUUGGUAGAGAAGAACGUUGGUGAGAGUGGAAAGCUCAUCAAGUGACGGUAACUACCCAGAAAGGGACGGCUAACUACGUG
rnacentral:rRNA from 1 species